GAUGAAGAACGUAGCAAAAUGCGAUAAGUAAUGUGAAUUGCAGAAUUCAGUGAAUCAUCGAAUCUUUGAACGCACAUUGCGCCCGCCAGUAUUCUGGCGGGCAUGCCUGUUCGAGCGUCAUUUCAACCCUCAAGCUCAGCUUGGUGUUGGGACUCGCGGUAACCCGCGUUCCCCAAAUCGAUUGGCGGUCACGUCGAGCUUCCAUAGUGUAGUAAUCAUACACCUCGUUACUGGUAAUCGUCGCGGCCACGCCGUAAAACCCCAACUUCUGAAUGUUGACCUCGGAUCAGGUAGGAAUACCCGCUGAACUUAAGCAUAUCAAUAAGCGGAGGA
rnacentral:misc_RNA from 1 species